CCUGAAUAUUCAUUUUUGUAGUUAAAAAAUGAGGAUAGAAUGACAAACAGAAUUACUCCAAUUAUUGUUCUCUGGAAGUCACAUGUGUUCAUUCUACAAUGAGGUGUGAAGAAACUUUAUAAAGAAAACUUUAUAAAGAAGAAAAACGAAAAAAGUAAUAUUAGGAAAGGAAAAUGUUGUUAGUCGGAGGAGGGAUGACAAGGGAAAAGGCAGUAAUGGGUGCAUCAUUUUUUCGGAGGUGCUUGAUUUGGAAUACAAGGUAGGGGGUUCAAAUACGGAACCUGAGGUUUCUUCCUGGCAGUGAUAUGAGAGUCAUGUCGACCAUCCUUCUAAAACUGAACUGUGUUGUGUUUUAUAACCUGUUGGUGAAAAGAAUAGAUAUCCUCCCUUAGCCUUUUAGCAGAGCCAGGACAAACAGUGCAAAGGAGAGACAAGUCUCCAGGAAAAGGAGUUACAAGAAGCUACUUCCCACUGUCACUCUGGGUCACUGGAAAUAACACGUGCAUGCCCAGGACAUGCGUAGGUGCUGCGGGCAAGUUGGAGACAUUAACCUUGGGUGCUGCUGAGUCCAGAACGCUUCAAAGGCAAGGGGCAGUGAGGGAACCGGAAGCCAAUCAGAGUGAAGAGGAUGUUUGGACCGAAAGAGAGAGUGUAUAUAAAGACUUAGGGUUUGGGGCUCCUCUCUCUUGCUCCACUGUCUCUGUUCUAGUCAACACCUGCCAAUCUGGGCAGGUAUUUCUACAACUCCAAGAGGACAAAAGGAGUCAGGGUUCGGCAGCUUCUUUGGUGACCGGCUACACCGUUUGGCAGCGAGUUCAAGGGCUCACAACUGUACAGAGCAAGGAGCCUGCUGAACAGUGAGGUUCCAGUUUAGAAAGAGUGCUGCAAACAAAGACAUGUAAGGAUCUGGAGCUGCCGAACUUUAUCUUUUAAAGUCAAGAAAGACAUUUUCAUCCGUUAUUUUGAUAAUUUGCCUUGCAGUUGCUCUGCUCUAAUCAGAGAUUAAUCCUCUCUCAUAAACCUAAUGAGUAGGUAAAUUAUUAAUACACACUGAAAAAUUAAACUCCUCAUAUCCUCUCACCUUGUCUAUAUGAGAGGCGAUAUCGUUGUAGAAGCACGUGCUGCUUUGCUGUAGUUUCUGCUUUCAAAUCAGAGAGGAGAUCCUCAGUGAUAGCCAGUGUGGCUACUCUGAGCAAGGUCAUUCUACCUGGCAUUAGCCUCACUGUAAGCAGAGAACCUUUUUUGUGUUUGCUGUUCUUCUUGAAGAAUUCUUUCUGUGCGGCUUUUUGCACUGGUGUCACUAACGACCCAAUACACACCCCUGCUUAGUUUUCCAGCUUAUGGCCCUGAAGGCCAUGCGUCUUAUUGCUAGCAGAUCGUCUCUCUUAUCCUUACUUCUUUCGUCAUACCCCGUAAUGGCCUCUCCCAGACUACGCCACCUCAAGCGACUUUAACCGUAAGGAUCCUUGCUCUAAGUUAAAUAGCGUAUUCAAAAGCAGAGACAUCAUUUUCCCGACCAAGGUCGAUAUAGUCAAAGCCAUGGUUUUUCCAGGGGUCAUGUAUGGAUGUGAGAGUUGGACCAUAAAAAAGGCUAAGUGCCGAAGAAAUGAUGCUUUUGAACUUUGGCAUUGGAGAAGACUCUUGAGAGUCCCUUUGGACUGCAAGGAGAUCCAACCA
ensembl:lncRNA